rnacentral:rRNA from 1 species
CUGCGUACCUUUUGUAUAAUGGGUCAGCGACUUAUAUUCUGUAGCAAGGUUAACCGAAUAGGGGAGCCGAAGGGAAACCGAGUCUUAACUGGGCGUUAAGUUGCAGGGUAUAGACCCGAAACCCGGUGAUCUAGCCAUGGGCAGGUUGAAGGUUGGGUAACACUAACUGGAGGACCGAACCGACUAAUGUUGAAAAAUUAGCGGAUGACUUGUGGCUGGGGGUGAAAGGCCAAUCAAACCGGGAGAUAGCUGGUUCUCCCCGAAAGCU